CAAUAGCGUAUAUUAAAGUUGCUGCAGUUAAAAAGCUCGUAGUUGGAUUUGUGGCGCGGCCGUCCGGCGGGGCUCUUUCAUUAGGGCCGUUUGUCCGGUUUUUCGGCCGCUCCAUUCUCGGGUAGCGUGUCGCUGGCAUUAGGUUGUCGGCUUCUUCGCGCCCGUCGUUUACUGUGAAAAAAUUAGAGUGUUCAAAGCAGGCUUAGGCCGUUGGAUACAUUAGCAUGGAAUAAUGAGAUAGGGCCACGACGGUCUAUUUUGUUGGUUUGCACGUUGUGGUAAUGAUUAACAGGAACGGUUGGGGGUAUUCGUAUUCAAUUGUCAGAGGUGGAAUUCUUGGAUUGCGUUACGACGAACUACUGCGAAAGCAUUUGCCAAGGAUGUUUUCAUUGAUCAAGAACGAAAGUAUGGGAUCGAAGAUGAUUAGAUACCAU
rnacentral:rRNA from 1 species